rnacentral:rRNA from 1 species
AGUGAACGCUGGCGGUAGGCCUAACACAUGCAAGUCGAACGGCAGCACAGUAAGAGCUUGCUCUUACGGGUGGCGAGUGGCGGACGGGUGAGGAAUGUAUCGGAAUCUACUCUUUCGUGGAGGAUAACGUAGGUAAACUUACGCUCAUACCGCAUACGACCUUCGGGUGAAAGCAGGGGAUCUUUGGACCGUGCGCGGUUGAAUGAGCCGAUGUGGGAUUAGCUAGUUGGCGGGGUAGAGGCCAACCAAGGCGACGAUCGGUAGCUGGUCUGAGAGGGUGAUGCGCCACACUGGAACUGAGACACGGUCCAGACUCCUACGGGAGGCAGCAGUGGGGAAUAUUGGACGAUGGGCGCAAGCCUGAUCCAGCCAUACCGCGUGGGUGAAGAAGGCCUUCGGGUUGUAAAGCCCUUUUGUUGGGAAAGAAAAGCAGCAGGUUAAUACCCCGCUGUUCUGACGGUACCCAAAGAAUAAGCACCGGCUAACUUCGUG